rnacentral:lncRNA from 1 species
UAUGUUUAUGUGUGGUAAUUAAUCGUUUUGUGGGAGAAUGUAGGUGCUGUUGUGGAGGUUGAAUGCAAAGCAGGGUGGAAAGUGAUCAAGGCCUAUGGUGAAACUAAGAGCAAUGGAAAGUACAGUAUCACAGUUAAGGAUUUUGACUAUGUCAAGUAUGGACCCACAGUGUGCAAGGCCAAGCUUUAUGCUCCACCUAAACACUCCCCCUUCAACACACCUACUAAAUUCAACGAAGUAACCAAGUUGAAGGUGAAAUCUAAGGACAAGUAUGAAGUGGUGCUUAAGGCUAAGCCAUUUGCUUAUGCUUCAAAGAAGUAUUUUAAAGAAUGUGAAAAGCCUUCACCCACUCCUUACUACUACAAAUCACCUCCUCUUCCAACUCCCGUUUACAAAUACAACUCUCCACCUCCACCAUCACCAAAACCUACACCAUCAUACUACUAUAAAUCACCACCCCCACCUUCACCAUCCCCUCCUCCUCCAUACUAUUACAAGUCACCUCCACCACCAUCUCCAUCACCCCCACCUCCUUAUUAUUACAAAUCCCCACCACCACCAUCUCCAUCACCACCUCCUUACUAUUACAAAUCCCCUCCACCACCAUCCCCAUCACCACCACCUCCAUACUACUACAANCCUCCACCACCAUCCCCAUCACCACCACCUCCAUACUACUACAAAUCACCACCACCACCAUCUCCAUCACCACCACCUCCCUAUUACUAUAAAUCACCCCCACCACCAUCUCCAUCACCGCCACCUCCUUACUAUUACAAAUCCCCACCACCACCAUCCCCCUCACCACCACCUCCAUAUUACUAUAAAUCACCUCCACCACCAUCUCCUUCACCACCACCUCCAUACUACUACAAAUCCCCGCCACCACCAUCCCCAUCACCACCACCUCCAUACUACUACAAAUCCCCUCCACCUCCCUCUCCAUCUCCACCACCUCCCUAUUACUAUAAAUCACCUCCGCCACCAUCUCCAUCACCACCACCUCCUUACUAUUACAAAUCCCCUCCCCCACCAUCCCCGUCUCCACCCCCUCCUUAUUACUAUCAAAGUCCUCCUCCACCAGUAAAGUCACCUCCACCUCCAGCUUACACCUAUGCUUCCCCACCUCCACCUAUCUACAAAUAAGCUGCGAAUGCGAAAGCACCACUCAUGAUAAAUCACGUAAGUUUACGUUCCUUUCUUCCUUACACUCAGAAAGAAAAAGAAAAUAUCAUUACCGGUAUAUGCAUAAAUUUUUGUAAUAAAAGUUACUAUUUAAUUUCUUACAGAUUCUUGUUUUCAUUGAGGAAUAAAGACAAUCUCCAUUUCGAGCCAAGUGAUCUAUCUUCCUAUUUAAGUUUUUUGAAUAAAAGUCUGAAGGUGUGUCAUCUCUGCACUUCUAUACUCGUGAUUCAGACCCGAUUGAUUCUAUCUGUUUGCUUGCACGUUCCAAUCUUGUUGUGUUUAAAUGCCUCACAGAUCAGAACAUGAGAGAUUUGAAAUGUAAAUGACAAGUGAAAGUGAAAAAUAUAGUACAUUUUUAAUUUAUUUGUUCCUAGAUUAAUUGGCCAUGUACAAUUGGUUUUCAUUUAUGCGGCAUUUCUGUAUUGUACCAUGUCGUAUUUGUGAUAACAGUAUUAUUACAUUAGAAAUAAAACAUUUAAGCAUUGCAUUCAGCUUUUCUCUUCCCAACUGCUAGUAUUAAUGGUUACCAAAGUUUCAAAUAGCUCCAUUGUUUAUUAGAGUCUUCUAAACAUUCUGGAUAGCAAAAAAUAAAUCUGCUGAUAAAAUUUUUAGUUCUUUUCAAAUUAACUCAUAAACAAAUAAAAAAUGAAAAACAUUGAUUUCAUUACUAAUUACUAUCAGAGUGUCCAACGACAUUUUAAAUUUUAUCUAUUCUAAUAAAUAAAAUGCGCAACAAUAACUAAAUCACAACAGUAGGAGUCAACUGCGCAUAAACUUUAUCUAUAAUACUUACGUAGUUUUCUAGUCUUGGAGAUCACGGACAUAUAAUAGUGUUGUUCUAACCAUAUCUCAUUGAAUCUACUGUUGUUACUUUUCUUCUCUAAUACAGUUUCCGAACUCUUUCUUCUCUAGGGCUCCCUAUUUCUAAAUGUUCUUCGAGUAUACCUAUACCUAGAACUUUUUCUUUUCACAUCAAAUUUGUCUGAUAAGAACUGUGUGGAAUUGAAGGAAAGGGAUUCAUGCACUACAAGAAAAUUUGGUUUUAGAAACCAAAUUAUUAGUCUCUAAAAUGAUCAAAUUAGUCACUAAUUCAAGUUGAGACCAAUUUAGAGUCUAAUAGUCAUAAGUAGCUAAACUUUGGUAACUAAUGCUAGAUACCAAUUUAGCUUCUAAUUUAGAAACUAAUUUUGUGACCAAAUAUAUAGCAACUAAUUGCAUAGAAAUUAAUUUAGCAACCAAUUAUAUCAAAACUAUUUUAGCAAGCAAAUAUAUAAAAACCAAUUUAGCAACCAAAUAUAUAGAAACCAAUUUAGUAACCAUGUUAUAUAGAAACCAAUCUUGUGACCAUAUUACCAUAUUAUAUAGAAAUCGAUUUAGUAACCAAAUAUAUAAAGAUCAAAAGAUGGCCACUAUAUUGGUCUCUAAAUAAUGAUAAUUUGUUUUAAAACAUUUUCUAGUUAUUUUAUCUACCUAAUCUUUCAUAUUUUAUAUUUAUUUCUAAAUUUAAUUUCAAUAAUUUUAAAAUAAAUUAUCAAUAAUUAAAAUUUACUUUUUACUAUAGUUUAAAUUAUUUAUUACAAAUUCAAAUUUAAAUAUUUUAAUUUAAUUUUCCACUAUGAUCAAUUUCGUAUCACAA